GAGCUCUUGCUGCUUCGCUGACAAUGGCGGACGAGUGAGUAAUGUCUGGGAAACUGCCUGAUGGAGGGGGAUAACUACUGGAAACGGUAUCUAAUACCGCAUAACGUCUCAAGACCAAAGAGGGGGACCUUCGGGCCUCUUGCCAUCGGAUGUGCCCAGAUGGGAUUAGCUAGAACGUGGGGUAACGGCUCACCUAGGCGACGAUCCCUAGCUGGUCUGAGAGGAUGACCAUCCACACUGAAACUGAGACGCGGACCAUACUCCUACGGGAGGCAGCAGUGGGGAAUAUUGCACAAUGGGCGCAAGCCUGAUGCAGCCAUGCCGCGUGUAUGAAGAAGGCCUUCGGGUUGUAAAGUACUUUCAACGGGGAGGAAGGGAGUAAAGUUAAUACCUUUGCUCAUUGACGUUACCCGCAGAAGAAGCACCGGCUAACUCCGUGCCAGCAGCCGCGGUAAUACGGAGGGUGCAAGCGUUAAUCGGAAUUACUGGGCGUAAAGCGCACGCAGGCGGUUUGUUAAGUCGGAUGUGAAAUCCCCGGGCUCAACCUGGGAACUGCAUCUGAUACUGGCAAGCUUGAGUCUCGUAGAGGGGGGUAGAAUUCCAUG
rnacentral:rRNA from 1 species